rnacentral:misc_RNA from 1 species
GAUGAAGAACGCAGCGAAAUGCGAUAAGUAAUGUGAAUUGCAGAAUUCAGUGAAUCAUCGAAUCUUUGAACGCACCUUGCACCCUUUGGCUAUUCCGAAGGGUAUGCCUGUUUGAGUAUCAUGAACACCUCAACUCUCAUGGUUUGCCAUGAUGAGCUUGGACUUUGGGGGUCUUGCUGGCCUGUGGUCAGCUCCUCUCAAAUGGAUUAGCUUGCCAGUGUUUGGUGGCAUCACAGGUGUGAUAACUAUCUACGCUUGUGGUUUUCCACCAGGUAACCUUCAGCAAUGGGGGUUCGCUGGGGCUCAUAAAUGUCUCUCCUCAGUGAGGACAGCUCUUUGAACGUUUGAUCUCAAAUCAGGUAGGACUACCCGCUGAACUUAAGCAUAUUAAUAAGCGGAGGA